AUGGGGGUGCCACAGGGUUAUAUUCUCGGGCCGACUCUUUUCUCUGUAUAUAUCAAUGAUGUUGCUCUUGCUGCGGGCGAUUCCCUGAUCCACCUCUACGCAGACGACACCAUUCUAUAUACUUCCGGCCCGUCCUUUGACACUGUGCUAUCUAACCUCCAAACGAGCUUCAAUGCCAUACAACACUCCUUCCGUGGCCUCCAACUGCUCUUAAACGCUAGUAAAACUAAAUGCAUGCUUUUCAACCAUUCGCUGCCUGCACCCGCACGCCCGACUAGCAUCACCACCCUGGAUGGUUCCGACCUUGAAUAUGUGGACAUCUAUAAGUACCUAGGUGUCUGGCUAGACUGUAAACUCUCCUUCCAGACUCAUAUCAAACAUCUCCAAUCGAAAAUCAAAUCUAGAGUCGGCUUUCUAUUCCGCAACAAAGCCUCCUUCACUCACGCCGCCAAACUUACCCUAGUAAAACUGACUAUCCUACCGAUCCUCGACUUCGGCGAUGUCAUCUACAAAAUUGCUUCCAACACUCUACUCAGCAAACUGGAUGCAGUUUAUCACAGUGCCAUCUGUUUUGUCACUAAAGCACCUUAUACCACCCACCACUGCGACCUGUAUGCUCUAGUGGGCUGGCCCUCGCUACAUAUUCGUCGCCAGACCCACUGGCUCCAGGUCAUCUACAAGUCCAUGCUAGGUAAAGCUCCGCCUUAUCUCAGUUCACUGGUCACGAUGGCAACACCCACCCGUAACACGCGCUCCAGCAGGUGUAUCUCACUGAUCAUUCGUCGCCAGACCCACUGGCUCCAGGUCAUCAACAAGUCCAUGCUAGGUAAAGCUCCGCCUUAUCUCAGUUCACUGGUCACGAUGGCAACACCCACCCGUAACACGCGCUCCAGCAGGUGUAUCUCACUGAUCAUCCCUAAAGCCAACACCUCAUUUGGCCGCCUUUCGUUCCAGUUCUCUGCUGCCUGUGACUGGAACGAAUUGCAAAAAUCGCUGAAGUUGGAGACUUAUCUCCCUCACCAACUUCAAACAUCUGCUAUCUGA
ensembl:lncRNA